ACGGGAGCAGCAGUGGGAUUUCGCAUGGCGAGCCUGACCGAGCCAUCGCGUGAGGAGGAAGCUCUGGGUGUAACCUCUUUCUCAGGGAGACACAAUGACGUACCUGAGAUCAGCAUCGGCUACUCGUGCCAGCAGCCGCGGUAAUACGAGGAUGCAAGCGUAUCCCGGAAUGAUUGGGCGUAAAGCGUCCGCAGUGGCUGUGUAAGUCUGCUGUCAAAGAGCAAAGCUCAACUUUGUAAAGGCAGUGGAAACUACACGGCUAGAGUGCGUUCGGGGCAGAGGGAAUUCCUGGUGUAGCGGUGAAAUGCGUAGAGAUCAGGAAGAACACCGGUGGCGAAGGCGCUCUGCUAGGCCGCAACUGACACUGAGGGACGAAAGCUAGGGGAGCGAAUGGGAUUAGAUACCCCAGUAGUCCUAGCUGUAAACGAUGGAUACUAGGCGUGGCUUGUAUCGACCCGAGCCGUGCCGUAGCUAACGCGUUAAGUAUCCCGCCUGGGGAGUACGCACGCAAGUGUGAAACUCAAAGGAAUUGACGGGGGCCCGCACAAGCGGUGGAGUAUGUGGUUUAAUUUGAUGCAACGCGAAGAACCUUACCAAGGCUUGACAUGUCGCGAACUCUUUUGAAAGGAAGAGGUGCCUUCGGGAGCGCGAACACAGGUGGUGCAUGGCUGUCGUCAGCUCGUGUCGUGAGAUGUUGGGUUAAGUCCCGCAACGAGCGCAACCCUCGUUUUUAGUUGCCAGCAUUAAGUUGGGCACUCUAGAGAGACUGCCGGUGACAAACCGGAGGAAGGUGGGGAUGACGUCAAGUCAGCAUGCCCCUUACGCCUUGGGCUACACACGUACUACAAUGCUACGGACAGAGGGCAGCAAGCUAGCGAUAGCAAGCUAAUCCCAUAAACCGUGGCUCAGUUCAGAUCGAAGGCUGCAACUCGCCUUCGUGAAGGAGGAAUCGCUAGUAAUUGCAGGUCAGCAUACUGCAGUGAAUUCGUUCCCGGGCCUUGUACACACCGCCCGUCACACCAUGGAAGCUGGCAACGCCCGAAGUCAAAUAGGUCCAACCUUUCGAGGGGGGAGGGAUGCCCUAAAGGCCAAGUGGCUUGGGGUA
rnacentral:rRNA from 1 species